GGCAGGAGCUCCUGUGAUGCCCUGGCUCCAGUGCUCAGUGUUCAUCCUUCACCCUUGUCAGUUUGACAGAUGCAGAAACUCCUCAUCCUCUGCAAGCAGAACGGUGUUCAGUGUGACAGACAGACCCACAGACGCCAUGCUCACCUGCUCACCUCAUACCCCACAAACAGUCCAUCAGAGUCCCUGGCCCAGGAUGGACCAAUCCCAGCUGCAGGAAGACCCAGCGCAGGGUCACAGCCUCAAGCAGGAUGGGAUGCACAAGCAGUGCCUGCCUGGUCCCCAUCACAGCAAUAAGCCAUACCUGCCUGCGGAGGAGCCCCGCAGUACUCCUUGCAUUCCUUCUCUGAGUAGAACUUGUUCCCGUUGCCCUUGCAGCCUCCAUAGCUGAACCUGAUGCACUUGCCCUGUGCCGCAUCAAAGGCCCAGCGUAUCACUGGUUUCUGGCAGGGCCCCUGGGCGAUGGGCAGCCUGCAGGCAGCUGUGGGGAGAGGAGACUGUGGAAGGCUGGCAGAACCGGGAUCCUGUGCUGCACACACGGGGCUCGGGGAAGCCCCGGUUCCCUCUGCAGCUCUGUGUCCCCUUGCCCCAGUGUGGCCCCAUUCUCACUCACCCUCAGUCCGGCAGGCCUGCAGGCACUCCUUCUCUGAGUAGAAGUUGUUGCCAUUGCCCAGGCAGCCACCAUAGAGGAAAGUCUCGCAGGCCAUGGAGGAGGUGUUGUAGAAGAAGCGGGACAGCAUCCCACUGCAGGGUCCCGGGUCCCGGUUCAGCCGGCAUGCGUCUGCAGGUGAGCGCAACGCAGGUUGGAGUGGGUGAUGGGGGCAUGGGGACACCCAUUGCAGCCCCUCCACCAGGACCUACCUUCUUUGUUGCCAACGUAUGUGGGCAGAGGGCCUGCAGCUGAGCCCUCCUCGGGUGGCAGCACUGCUCUCCGCGUCCUCUGCUCCGGGAGGAAGCACAGAGUUGCCAUCAGCCAUGCCAACCCUACUUCCCUGAUACCCCCACAUGUCUCCAGACAUCUGCCUGGGGUCAGCAGGCCAUGGUCACUCCAUGCCUCAUGUUGUUCCCAGCCCUGUAUUCAUCCCAGACAGGGGCUAGGAUCACACAGUUUGGAUGAAAACAAUCAAAGUGCACCAGUCAUGCCCUGUGCUGGGCUGAGCAUGCAUCUCUCCUCCCACUGAUAUAUGGUGGUGCAUCCUCCAGAUAUUAUAUCUGCUCUGAACUGUGCUGUU
rnacentral:lncRNA from 1 species